GGUGACUCGGGCCAGAGCCGCGCAAAGAGGAAGAGGUUAGGGAUACAGGAUGUUGUCUAUCCUGAGCCACAAAGGCUGGAUCCGCUGUGAAAGGCUUCUCCUGGAGUCCACUUGCUCCGAGUCUCCCCCAACAGGCGCCUCCCCGCCGUGCUUCCUGCUGAGCUGUUUUCUGAGGUUUUCCGGAAAAUUGCCGGUGAGGGUACCGAACACCAGGCCAAGGACUCAAGACCUUGGGGACAGGAUAAGGUAGAGGCCUGGCGACGAGAUUUAAGUAAAUGUGGGAUUAACUGCCCGUUAAAGCCUCAGGACUUUCUAACUAAGGAUAAGAGAAUGAGAAUUUGUAAACUGCUGUGAGUCCCUGCCAAAGGACAGUGUAUUUUAAAAACCUUUAGGAAAAGGGAACCGCUGAACUCAAAAUGAACUUCUAAAGGUCUAAUUUCUGAAACUAACAGGUGGGAGAGAGAUGUUUGCCUGGAGAAAAGAUGGGCUGACUUGGGCUCCUGGGUUGAGGAGAGGCAGCUUCUGUGAUCUGGGUUCCAGAGCAGGGGCAGGGUCCUGCAAUUUGGUAACUCUGCCCUGACAACCCAGUGCACCUGGGCACAUGGGUCUUGUUCCCAGGCCUCUGGAAAAAUGGAGCACAUCCAGACAUAGUAGUACAGUGUAAUCCCAGCUCCGUGGGAGGCUGAGGCAGGAGGAUUACAAGUUUGAGACCAACCUAGGCAAUUUAGUGAGACCCUGUCUCAAAAUGAAAAAUUGAAAGAGCUGGGGAAUGUAGCUCAGUGGGAAGGCACCCCUGGGUUCAAUCCCCAGUACCCCCCCCACACACACACACAAAGUGGGUACUGCCAUAUGCAGUGUCCUUGGGUAGUGCCCAAAGCCCAGGGUUCUGCUUGUGAGACAAAAGGAUGGUCAUAGAGGAGGCAAGGCAAAGAGAAAGGAAAAGGGGAGCUGAGAACUGAGAGGCUGAGCCAGUCAGUCAAGGUGUGGGACACCUGUAAUCCUAGUUACUAUGGAGAUUAAAUCAUAGAAAAAAAAAUCACAAAUUUGAGGCCAGCUUGGGCAAUUUAAGUGAGACUCUUUCUCAAAAUAAAAAUUUUACAGAAGGUCUUGGAGCUUUGCCCAGUGGCUGUAUCAUAAUCAAUGAAGUUUAUCUGAAGCACAAUUAUUGCUAAUUAAAAUCUUUUCCCAAUAUCCCAGUGUGACAACUUGCAAUAUAAUCACCAUUGGCAUUUUUUGACAGUCUCUAUGGAGACUUAAAAAAAAAAAAUCUCAGGAUGUAGCUCAGUGAUAGAGGCUUAUCUAGCAUGUGCAAGGAGGACCUGGGUUCAAUCUCUAGGAGGAGAAAGAAACAAACAAAAGCUCCGAGGCUGGAGUUGGGCAAGACCUUCACCCUGCAGGCCUCAGUUUGCUCAUCUGGAAUGUAGAGAUAUUACCUAAUGCAAAAGGCUACCGUGAGAAUUCAACAAAAUGGUGUUCCAGAAAGUGCUCUAUAACCAGUACAAAUCCUAGGCAGGAAACCUCCUCCAUGGAAACUCCCAGGUUGCUCCAAAUCCAGGUGCAGCUCUUGCCUGGGUGCUCCCAGUAUUUGAAACCUGGCCUGCUGGAGGGAACUCUUUUGCAGACCUCUUUCCUGUUCCCCCAACUCCCUCAGACACACCUACUCACAAUGGAAUCCUUGCCAGACUGUGACCUUCUCAAGGCGGAGAUGGGUGGCUG
rnacentral:lncRNA from 1 species